UAAAACGUAGGAGGCAAGCGUUAUCCGGAGUUACUGGGCGUAAAGCGCAUGUAGGCGGUUGGACAAGUUGAGUGUGAAAGCUCCCGGCUAAACUGGGAGAGGACAUUCAAGACUGUUCGACUAGAGGAUGGUAGAGGGGCGUAGAAUUCCGGGUGUAGCGGUGAAAUGUGUAGAGAUCCGGAGGAAUACCAGUGGUGAAGACGACGCCCUGGGCCAUUACUGACGCUGAGAUGCGAAAGCGUGGGGAGCGAACGGGAUUAGAGACCCCGGUAGUCCACGCCGUAAACGAUGCGAACUAGGUGUCCACUUCCCGACAGGGCAGGGGGUGCCGAAGCUAACGCGAUAAGUUCGCCGCCUGGGGAGUACGGUCGCAAGACUA
rnacentral:rRNA from 1 species